AGAAUUUAGCAGAGAUGCUUUAGUGCCUUCGGGAACUCUGAGACAGGUGCUGCAUGGCUGUCGUCAGCUCGUGUUGUGAAAUGUUGGGUUAAGUCCCGCAACGAGCGCAACCCUUAUCCUUUGUUGCCAGCACGUAAUGGUGGGAACUCAAAGGAGACUGCCGGUGAUAAACCGGAGGAAGGUGGGGAUGACGUCAAGUCAUCAUGGCUCUUACGAGUAGGGCUACACACGUGCUACAAUGGCGCAUACAAAGAGAAGCGACCUCGCGAGAGCAAGCGGACCUCAUAAAGUGCGUCGUAGUCCGGAUUGGAGUCUGCAACUCGACUCCAUGAAGUCGGAAUCGCUAGUAAUCGUAAAUCAGAAUGUUACGGUGAAUACGUUCCCGGGCCUUGUACACACCGCCCGUCACACCAUGGGAGUGGGUUGCAAAAGAAGUAGAUAGCUUAACCUUCGGGAGGGCGUUUACCACUUUGUGAUUCAUGACUGGGAUGAAGUCGUAACAAGGUAGGCGUAGUGCU
rnacentral:rRNA from 1 species